rnacentral:piRNA from 1 species
UCUAAAGGCCAUGAUGAGCAGAGGAAUCU